rnacentral:lncRNA from 1 species
GCCAAGUCCAGCACUACUCAAUGCUGUAGAAUGAGUUGUGGAGAUAAUCCAUUGUCCUCAAUGGCACAAGUGCCUGCCUGGCAAGCGCAAGGUCCCGAGUUCGAUACCCGGUACCAAAAGGAAAAUCCAUUGUCCUAAGACCACUGUUAAACUGGGAAGCACCUGAGUCUCCCUGCUGCGGAGGCCUACACAGCUUCAGGUAUUUCCCAAACCUGCUCCAAGGCUGGAACUGUUGCAGCAAAAUCUCGAGUCUGCCCCACAGGCGCACAGGUCUCCACCUAAUGCCAGAGCCCAACUAGAGUCUGCCUGUGUUUUUGAGGAUUCAGAUUCGUUCCUGAGAUGACAACAGGGGGCAGAGCCAGAGGACCCAGGCUCUCAGACAGCUCACCCAGGACAGAACCAGCAGACUUCCACCACACCCUCCAUCAGGAGACAGUCUUUGCUGCUUCCCUUGCAGUGUCGGUGAAAAAACACAUCAUGUUUUCGUUUAGUGAGCAGAUAGUUCAUGAUCUGAGACUUGGAAGCAGAGAGGCCAUUUCCAACUCUGAUAAAGGACACAAUGGAGAUCCACUGCAUGAUGGAGUGAGCCUGAGGAAAGUUUGGCACUUUGUACACGUGAGGAUCCAGAAGUAUGCGCAGCUGAGAUUUAAUGAAUUUGGUGUCACAAAUGGAAGAUUUUUUACAAAAGUUGAUGGUAUUUACUAA